GGCAUCGCAUGAAGGACAAACUUGCUUCAGAGCUUGCUCUUCAGAGAGGUUUACCGAUAGAACCAUGUAGAUGGCCCACGCUCGCCAGUGGAAAGCUCCGAGACAACUCAGCUGGAACAGGUUACUCCAAACAUUAUCAGUUGCUACUCAGAUCUUCAUGGGCUACACAGAUCUUCAUGGUGCUGGACUCCAAUCAAGUACGCCAAUGGGUAUCUCAGCAACACAAACAGCAGACACACAGCGGGAUCAAAGGCAUCUGCGUACAAGUUUGCCUGCUAUGGGAGUUCCUGGCAUGCUGCAAGGAAUAAGCUCACCAGGAGAGAAAACACUCUGUCACAGUCCACCGGGUGCAAGUCGUCACUAGCAGCCUAUUGUUAGGAAGUUUGGGUUUAACAUCCUAGCAAUGGAAUUUCCCGCAAGAAGGAAAAAAGGCUUCAUUCAGCUCCAAGGGAAAGCUAUUUCAAGAAAGGCUGGACAGAAGAACGUGCAUAUGGGUGGAGGGUUUGGAAAUCCUGUCUCCAGGCUGGGCAGCCCCUUUUCUUUGACAGAGAACUCUGCAAGGAGCUGGCAAGCCAGGUUGCUAGACAAGGAAAGCAAAAAUAGUGAGCUCAUAACUUUUCACCAAGUAACAGGACAACACUGAUACCACUGACUCAUUCUGGAACUCAACACUCAGUCUCCUGAGGACUUCUCUAACAAACGCUCUCAUAUGAAAUAGCAGCAGCGCUUUGGCCAAGAGAGCUGAUCUCCUGCUUGACAGGUUUGUGGAAAGGGCUGGUCAGGCAGACAAAGGACUACUUAAGCAAGAGAAAGUAAGGAGCAAGCCACAAGGAAGAUAAUCUAAGAACUUUUCACUUAUCCCUUAAAUCAGUUCUUCAGAAAGAAAAAUGCUGCCUUGGUUAGAUUUCAGGCUUCUCCAUUAUGGCAAAUAGUGUAUGAGAUUCUUGUGACCAAAACCAAAACCAAAUCUGCAGUGUGCUGAGCUUCAUUCAUGUAAGCCAUUCUGGGGGAUGUGCAUUGCAAAAGAGUGUGAGCACAGUUCUUGCUCCAGCAAUGUCAGGGCCUCCACCAAGAGGAAGGUCCUGUGCAUCUUUGUCAUCCUGCUGUAUGAAAAUGAAGGCUCCUCAUACAUGAUACAUUCCCCAGGCUUGCAUUUCACUAAGAAAACCAAUAUAUAAGAGGUAACAGAUACUUUACAUUGACACCUUUCACUUAAGGAUUUUUAAGUAUUUCUAUAAACAACUAUUUGGUCCUCAACAUCAUGUGACAAAUUUUAGUCAUUUAACUGGUAAAUUAUUAAAACUUUUCAAAUGAUCAGAAGGGUUGCUUUCUCAGCAAAAAAACACAAGUCAACUGAAUGAACAGAGCAUUUAUAAAAGGCAUGAAGAUAUUUCUUCCUUAAAAAAUUGCAAGCUGAGGGCUUGGUAUUUCCCUGCAAAUUAUUACAACACAGCAACUGCCAAAAGUUGCAAAUUGCAGUAGGGUACAUAUGUCAUGAAGUUCAGCUAUUACAAGGGAAACAAAGAACCACAACUGUGAAUUUCACUCAAGGCAGAAGUACAGCAGAGACAGAGACAGGAAAGGCUUGUGUCAAUCUGAGCUCAACACUUGCAGGCUGUCCAUCCCUUACAGCUCCCUUUCAGUUCUUCAAUUUGUGUAAAACUUUCUGCUUGAGAGCAGGAAUAUCUUGGUCUGUAAGCAGUAGAUAGAUCAGGACAGGCCAGACAAUGCCAAGAAGUUCAAGACUGUAACUGAAAGUGUAAGCAAAUUAUGCAAGCUAGGAAAGGCGGAGACCAGCUGUGUUUUCUGUAAUGCAGAAAAAAGUACAGAAAAGUGAUGGCAAAGUGUUAGGAAAAGGAGCUAAAUAACAUCUGUGCUUACUUGGCUUCACCAGAGGGAUAGAGUGGCAGGAUACUUGAGAAAAUGCCUAAAUUGGGCAACUAAGCCUUGUUUAACCAGAAGAUACCUAUGGUCUGAUUUCUGUCAGCUCUGGAAAGAGCGUUAUAGGAUGAAGACAUAUAGGCUGGGAAGCACCGAGGCUUGGUUUUCAAAGUCGUUUGGUAAGUGCCUGAACGGAACAGCGUAUUAACAGUGGCAGCCCAAAGGUAUGCAUAGUGCAUGUCUGAUGCCUGUAACAUGCAACAAGAGGAGACAGAGGUGUAAUUAAAAAUCGAUAACUGAAUGAGUCACACAAGCUGUGAUUUAGCAGAAGCUUUCACAAGCAGUAGUCGGACUGGUGUUGCAUCUGGUUAACAACUGCUAUCUGUUUGCAGAGACACUGGCCUACCUGUAGAUAGACAUUGAAAGAGCAGAUCUACACGAAACUGCUGCUGAGUUUGAAGAGUCAUUUACGCUGCAAACCAUGGAUCACACAGCUAAACAGCGCGAGGGGGGGAAAGCCAGAGCUUCCCACAUUGCUUGAGAAACCGGGUGGCAAUUAGGUCAUUUCCCAUUCACUCACAACCGCUACGUGCUGCUUCCAAGAGGUACGCGUGCAGUUGUGAGCCACGCUCAAGGAAGAGCGAAUCAGCCUGCGUGCAAACAGAAAACUGGUUGGAGGAAUAUUGCCAUGAUCCUUCCUUUCUCAUGCAAGCACUUCUGAGUAGCAGUUCUCUCACGCAACCACGUUGUCAAAUCAUAUGUUUAAGGAGAAUGGUGAGAAGGUUAUAGUGUUUUUUGUUGUUCCUGCAAGGUUCCCUUAUCAGUUUGAAAAUCUGGCUUACGCUCUUUGGCAUUUCCUACAGAGCACUGAAAAACACCUUUACUGUAACAAGGCUGUGUCAAGUGAAUGAUGUGAAACAUUUCUCUCAGUAAAUCAGAACCAGAAAUCAGGGCAGGUUCUUGUGGGAUGUUGGUGGCCAAGUGUUUCACUACAGCACCCAACCUGCUACGUUCCAGGACAAGAAAAGUUUUUCUAAUUUUGAGACACCUCCAAACCAAAACACCCUCUCCCCCGCAAAUGCAGUGAACAUUAUUUGCCUUCCACGUAGCCAUUUCGGAAAGUCAGAGCCAGUGCAGCGCACAGGCUUCCUGCACAUCUGUGCUAACGAGGACGUGUGAAAGCAUUAACUUCCCUUCACAAAUUGUACAUCCAGUCAAAAUUAAAAACAAACAAACAACUCCCAACAAAUGAAGUGUUUCGCCAACACGGUUGGAGAAACAAGGUCUGACGGAGCCCGUCACCUCACAAGCGAGGCAGAACUGUGGCAGAACAUCCCCUGACCCAUCCCCCCGAGAGGGAUGGUCUCACCCACACGUCUGGGAUAUGGACCACCCCCUACUCAAAAUAAUGGGGUAGUAGUUGGCCUUACUGAAAGAUACAGGCAGUUUUUGGUCACUUACAGACACGGUGUACACCUUCCAAGAGGUGUACACGUAUGCACUUAGCUGCGAGCCAAGCCUGACUGCUGGUAGAUUAGCGGACGAUGAUUACAUAACCGGUUUAUGCCAGACAAGCAGCUCAUUUGCACAGAGGCUUGCUAGAGUGGUGCCAUUUUGUACACUGGGGAGGCCCCCUGUUUCAUGCCAGAUUAGUCCCUGCUUGUACAGGCUGCUGGCAGCCUCCAACCAGCACGUGAGAAUUUUUGAGUAAAAACCCCAGAGAGGCGUGUGGGCCACAAGGCAACGGUAUGAAAAUGCCAAACUCUCCUCACUGUUAAAACUCCAAACAGCCCAGGAACAAGUCGUUCCAUACAAGGAGAGGGAGCAGCCAGGAACGGCCACUCAUCAGAACCACCAUCCAAUUAUAAAAGAUUUCGGGUUUUCAAUUAUAAAAGAUUUCGGGUUUUCAAUUAUAAAAGAUUUCGGGUUUUCAUUGUUGUCUUUUAAGAAAGCAGAAUGAAAUGAAAUAAAGCAGAGAUCACGGAAAAAGUGAGUUUCAUGGUCCACACCCUUCAGCAACAAAGGAGGCGUUUUUGUCAGGCAGGCACGAACAGUCGGCUUUUGCAGAGGAUCGCGCUCCAGAGAUGGAGGGAGGAGCAGUAGGAUUCAGUUUUCAACAGUGGAGGAGCGCCUGUAUCCAGGCACUAGCGAUGAGCUACAGAGGCAGAUACAAACUCCCAAAACAUCAGUUGCAAUACUGCUUUGUAGGGCUGGGACAAUUAAUACUCUCCCCAGCUCUUCGCUUGCCACUCACCCAUGAAAGGAGCAGAGCAUGGAUAGCCCAGUGCCUCCCCUUACUCCACAUCCCCCAGCUUGCCUGAGAUGAGGAGCACUACUGCAUUUCCCACAGCAGCAUCUCCUCCAGUGCAGGACACAGCGACUAACACAAGAAAUACUCAGGUCCUCCCCAGCUGGGCCGUUCACCCCUCGCGGCACGUGCGAGCACCCCUGCUGCCCAGCUGAACGGAGGGGCUGUACAAUUAGAGGGCACGCUGCUGCCAAGGCAGUAGAUGGCCACCCUGGAGCAGCAGUCCUGGGGAGAUACUAAGCCCUUUGUCCAUCCAAGGGUGCACUACAGUGCAGAGAAAGAGCACAGGAUAAGCCCUGUUCAGAGCCGCUUCUAGGCAGCUAUGGGAUGGGACCACAGAAUCAAAGCUGUAAGUAAAACAGACACCUGAUGACUUGGCGAUGCCUGUAUGCACCUUACCUGCAAAUAGCUUAAAGAAAAGCAAAUCUGUGGAG